GAAGAAGAAGAUGAAGGAGGAGAAGAAGAAGAAGAAGAAGGAGAAGAAGAAGAAGAAGAAGAAGAAGAAGAAGAAGAAGAAGAAGAUCGAUUUCCCCCGCUCUUUUCAGGUGACAGGGUUAGUCUGUUCAUGAGGCUUGCCACCAUUGCAAAGCUGGUCCUGGUACCCCACUCCAAUGCAGAUGCAGAGAGAGAGACUAAAACCAGGAACAGCCUGUCAUCAAUAAUGACAAUAAAGAUGGCUGGCCUGGAGUCCUGCUUCACGUGGGAGCCCUCCCCAGAAAUCAUCAAGGCCUCAAAAAAGGCCACAAGCAAGUACAACAAAGCACACAGAUCUUAAGGACUUUGACAGUAGCCUCCCUAUUUUGGGAAUUGUUUGUAUAAAUGGUUAAACUUUAAUUUUUUAUUUUUUUUUAAUUUAAAUUGGUAUUAGCUGCAUGUAGUUUGGGGAUGUUCAAAAAUGUCACAAUAACAUAGCUUUUGGGGGUUUUCAUUUUUAUUUAAAUGUUUCUUGCAUUAUGUUGCAUAUCUGUUUACUAUUUGAUGACUAAAGUAACAAAGUAAACAUGCACAAAUUUG